AGGUAGGUGGCGGAAUAGGUAGACGCAUCACACUCAAAAUGUGACAAUUAAUAUUGUGAGGGUUCGAGUCCCUUCCUACCUA
rnacentral:tRNA from 1 species